rnacentral:sRNA from 1 species
CAACACUCAAUGAGUCAAACGUAGAGAGGUGGUUUCUUUGGAACCAUUUGACGCGGGUAGCAGCUUCAAUCAGACAUGUUAUGUGAAUGAUUGAUGAUUGAGCAGCAAAUGCAACA